AUGGAGCAUAUUGGAGCAGAGGCGCUCCGCGCUUUCGCCAUGGAUGGCAUGGAGUUCUUCUACGAGAAAUCAGAUGCAGGGUUCGCUCCUCCUUUGGAUGUCGAGGUUGUCUUGAGAGAUGGAGUUCGCGACGCGCCCUCGAUUGAUGAUGAGACCAGCGGAACUGCUGGUGUCCAAGAUGGCUUGAUUUCUUCCAAGCCAGUGCGUAGGGAUGGGUACCCCUGGAAUACGAAGCAGUUGAGCAGACGGAACAAAUAUUCGUCACCGAGAGGGAUUGCGGCUCGUACAAAGGGUGGCCGAUUCAUGUGA
rnacentral:rRNA from 1 species